rnacentral:lncRNA from 1 species
UACCACUAAAACUCGAUGAAUCUCUUCAACUCAUCAUAUCCUAUAACUUCUCGCCAGAGUACUUCGUCUCCUGGUUCACUGAAUAUCUAUCUUAACUUUCGUCCUCCAUUCUACUAAGGUUAUAAUUCUUCACCAGAGUUCUUCAUCCAUUGAAUAUCUAUCUUAACUUUCGUUAUCCAUUCUACUAAGGUUAUAAUUCUUCACCAUAGUUCUUCGUCUAUCGAAUAUCUAUCUUAACUUUCGUUAUCCAUUCUACUAAGGUUAUAACCUAGGUUUCGCAUUCCUAACGUUUAUAACCUACAGCUUUGAUACCAACCUGUGGCNNNN